UACGCAGGGGGCAAGCGUUGUUCGGAAUGACUGGGCGUAAAGGGUGCGUAGGCGGUGUAGCAAGUUAGAAGUGAAAUACCUAGAGCUUAACUCAGGUGCUGCUUCUAAAACUGCUAUACUUGAGUGCAGUAGAGGAAAGUGGAAUUCCUAGUGUAGCGGUGGAAUGCGUAGAUAUUAGGAGGAACAUCAGUGGCGAAGGCGACUUUCUGGACUGUAACUGACGCUGAGGCACGAAAGUGUGGGGAGCAAACAGG
rnacentral:rRNA from 1 species